rnacentral:rRNA from 1 species
AGCGGAGGCGAGAGCUUGCUCUCGCCUGCCGGCGACCGGCGCACGGGUGAGUAACACGUAUGCAACCUGCCCCCUGCAGGAGGAUAACCGGGAGAAAUCCCGACUAAUACUGCAUAACACCCUGGGGCCACAUGGCUUCGGGGUCAAAGGAAGCAAUUCCGGCAGGGGAUGGGCAUGCGGCGCAUUAGCCAGUUGGCGGGGUAACGGCCCACCAAAGCGACGAUGCGUAGGGGUUCUGAGAGGAAGGUCCCCCACAUUGGUACUGAGACACGGACCAAACUCCUACGGGAGGCAGCAGUGAGGAAUAUUGGUCAAUGGGCGCAAGCCUGAACCAGCCAAGUCGCGUGAGGGAUGACGGUCCUAUGGAUUGUAAACCUCUUUUGUCGGGGAGCAAGGCCCGCCACGUGUGGCGGGAAGGAGAGUACCCGAAGAAAAAGCAUCGGCUAACUCCGUGCCAGCAGCCGCGGUAAUACGGAGGAUGCGAGCGUUAUCCGGAUUUAUUGGGUUUAAAGGGUGCGUAGGCGGAAGGUUAAGUCAGCGGUCAAAUGUCGGUGCUCAACACCGGCCUGCCGUUGAAACUGGUCUUCUUGAGUGAGCGAGAAGUAUGCGGAAUGCGUGGUGUAGCGGUGAAAUGCAUAGAUAUCACGCAGAACUCCGAUUGCGAAGGCAGCAUACCGGCGCUCAACUGACGCUGAGGCACGAAAGCGUGGGGAUCGAACA